CUGGAGCCCCUUCUUCUGCCAUGAGAAGGACAUACCUGACUGGCCUGCUGGAGGAAAAGAGACUUGGGGAGUAGAGAUCAAGGUAUUUGGCAGCUGCUGGAAAGUUUUCCACAUCCAGUGAUUGGCUGCAUUUGGUGGACAAAGGAACUCAUCACUAUAUGAACUUUAAAGGGAUACAGCUUGUGAAAAAUUCCUCUGAUAAAAGUCAAGGCUACUUCAAGGGCUGGGUGCUGUUGAGAGAUGGAAUCUCUGUGCCCUUCCAUCAAGAAGUGGUCUGUCUAUGGAUGUGAGGCUCCAGGUUAGUGUUGCAUUGGAUGGUUAUAUAAUGUGCUGCUUCGGGGUCCAAACAGCCACUCUUCCUCUCUUCCC